AUUGCUUCUCAGCCUUUUGGCCAAGAUCAAGUGUAGUACCUAUUUCCUAGGAACAAAAGGAAAAUGUGUAUUAUGCAAGAAACUAACAUUGUUGGCACAGAAGGGAUUUGAGUUACAUUUCCAGAUCUUUAAUUUCUCAAUGAAAAGAAAUAUACUAU
ensembl:snRNA U2 U2 spliceosomal RNA